UACGUAGGGUGCGAGCGUUGUCCGGAAUUAUUGGGCGUAAAGGGCUCGUAGGCGGUUUGUCGCGUCGGGAGUGAAAUCCUACGGCUUAACUGUGGGCUUGCUUUCGAUACGGGCAGACUAGAGGUAUGCAGGGGAGAACGGAAUUCCUGGUGUAGCGGUGAAAUGCGCAGAUAUCAGGAGGAACACCGGUGGCGAAGGCGGUUCUCUGGGCAUGAUCUGACGCUGAGGAGCGAAAAGUGUGGGGAGCGAACAGG
rnacentral:rRNA from 1 species